UACGUAGGGGGCAAGCGUUGUCCGGAAUUAUUGGGCGUAAAGAGCUUGUAGGCGGUUUGUCGCGUCUGCUGUGAAAUUUCGGGGCUCAACCCCGAACUUGCAGUGGGUACGGGCAGACUAGAGUGUGGUAGGGGAGACUGGAAUUCCUGGUGUAGCGGUGAAAUGCGCAGAUAUCCGGAGGAACACCAGUGGCGAAGGCGACUUUCUGGCCUGUUCUUGACGCUGAGGCGCGAAAGCUAGGGGAGCAAACGGGG
rnacentral:rRNA from 1 species